rnacentral:misc_RNA from 1 species
AAGUCGUAACAAGGUUUCCGUAGGUGAACCUGCGGAAGGAUCAUUAAUGAUUUUUUAAAGCAAACCAAGCUUAAGAGCUUUGGUUUUGCGAAUAUAUUUAAAACCCCACUCUUUUAAAAAAAAAUUUUUCAUUCAUACAUGAUUAUGAAUAAAAAAGAUCACUUUCAACAACGGAUCUCUUGGCUCUC